CAAAGCCACCUCUGCUAGGAGUACUGCCUUGUCACCUGAGGAUGAAACACCAGGCUGAUUUAGAAGGAAGUCUGGGGAGAUUUUCUGUGAACUCACUGGGAGAUUCUGGCUUCUCCCAAGCCUGAGAUCACCCUAUCGAGAUGGAAGAAGGAAAGGCUAUGACUCCAGUGUAUAUGAUUUCCCAAGGAUGAC
rnacentral:lncRNA from 1 species